AUACUCUUGUUUCUCUUGAGACUGUAUAAAUAUUUCAUCUUUUACUAAAGGGUUCCAUAGAGAGGAACAGUUCUGAGUCUUAAUUUAAUUUUUUGAGGCCAUGUCCUGGUGAGACU